UAAGUCCAGAAUAUCACCUUGUAAAUGCCUGAUUUCGUCUGAUCUCAGAAGCUAAACGGGAUUGAGCCUGGUUAGUACUUGGAUGGGAAACCGUUCAUUGUGAAGCUGCAGUGACUAGU
rnacentral:rRNA from 1 species